rnacentral:rRNA from 1 species
GACGAACGCUGGCGGCGUGCUUAACACAUGCAAGUCGAACGGAAAGGCCCUGCUUUUGUGGGGUGCUCGAGUGGCGAACGGGUGAGUAACACGUGAGUAACCUGCCCUUGACUUUGGGAUAACUUCAGGAAACUGGGGCUCAUACCGGAUAGGAGCUCCUGCUGCAUGGUGGGGGUUGGAAAGUUUCGGCGGUUGGGGAUGGACUCGCGGCUUAUCCGCUUGUUGGUGGGGUAGUGGCUUACCAAGGGUUUGACGGGUAGCCGGCCUGAGAGGGUUACCGGCCACAAUGGGACUGAGAUACGGCGCAGACUCCUACGGGAGGCAGCAGUGGGGAAUAUUGCACAAUGGGCGGAAGCCUGAUGCAGCAACGCCGCGUGCGGGAUGACGGCCUUCGGGUUGUAAACCGCUGUCGCCUGUGACGAAGCGUGAGUGACGGUAAUGGGUAAAGAAGCACCGGCUAACUACGUG